GAUCAAUACUGGCCAAAAAUCUGAACGCAAAAGAUUAAAUGAAACAUAAUUCUUUUAAAAUCAUUACUAUUUGACUUGUGAGUAAGGACAAAAAAUUUAUAGCAAGAAACUUAAAUUAUCUUCUACAAAAAUCCAAUACUUUAGAGUUUAGACAUUUGUGAAGUGUAGACAUGCGUUUCUUAUGUCAAACUUAAAUCCUCCUUUCUGUUCAUUUCUGAACCAAAAAAUUGGCAGGGUGUCAUAAAGCAAGUGAAUUAACAAUGGGAAGUUCACAAAGUAUUAGAAUAGGAAAAUUAUAAC
rnacentral:misc_RNA from 1 species